rfam:Oryza sativa (indica cultivar-group) chromosome 6, whole genome shotgun sequence.
AGAAAGGCAAACUAUGGGUUUCCGUGUUCAACUUUGACUGUCUGUCUUAUAUGAAUUUUUUUUAUAAUUUGUAUUUUCAUUGUUGUUAGAUGAUAAAACAUGAUUAAUAUUUUAUACGUGACUUGUUUUUUUAAUUGUUUUCAUAAUUUUUUCAAAAAACACGGACGGUCAAAUGUUAGACACGGAAACUAGGGUUUGUCUUUUU